UCUCCUCGUAGCUCAGUCUGGUUAGAGUGUCGGAUUUGGAAUCCGAAGGUCGAAGGUUCAAAUCCUUCCGGGGUGACCAA
rnacentral:tRNA from 3 species